CUGUGAUCCUCGGCAGCUGGGGGAAUGAGAGGAAACCACGUGGAGGCACGGUGGCCGAGACAACGGACUGUGAGCUCUUCUGGGAAUUUAGGGGAACACCCAUAAGUCGUUGGGAGACAUGUGGAGGGUCCACAGAGGCAGACCUCAGGAAGAAAAGGAACAUGUCAGUGGACAAGAGGCUAAGGGAGACCUCUGUGGAGGAGAUCCCAGGGAAGCACCGGGGUGGAUUGUGAAGUUAUGUCCGCAGGGACACACUUUCUGACAAUGCACUUAAAACUGCAACCAGAACAUCAGACCUUUUGUAUGAAGGAUGGGGAAGAAUAGCGUGUGACUGCUAAGUUGCUUCAACUGUGUCCGACUCUUCGCGACGCUAUGGACUGUAGCCUGCCAGGCUCCUCUGUCCAUG